ACGCUGGCGGCAUGCCUAACACAUGCAAGUCGAACGGGAUCCUAGCUUGCUAGGUGAGAGUGGCGACGGGUGAGUAACACGUGGGAAUCUGCCUUUUGGUUCGGGAUAACCGCGGGAAACUGCGGCUAAUACCGAAUGCCCUCGAGAGAGGAAAGAUUUAUCGCCCAAGGAUGAGCCCGCGUAAGAUUAGCUAGUUGGUGGGGUAAAAGCCUACCAAGGCGACGAUCUUUAGCUGGUCUGAGAGGAUGAUCAGCCACACUGGGACUGAGACACGGCCCAGACUCCUACGGGAGGCAGCAGUGGGGAAUAUUGGACAAUGGGCGAAAGCCUGAUCCAGCAAUGCCGCGUGAGUGAUGAAGGCCCUAGGGUUGUAAAGCUCUUUUACCAGGGAUGAUAAUGACAGUACCUGGAGAAUAAGCUCCGGCUAACUCCGUG
rnacentral:rRNA from 1 species